GUGAAAGAGGAGUCGCCGGGACGAGCGGGCCGCUGGGAAAAUCCAGCGCCGGGCAGCCGGGGGACGACCAGUGCCGGGCCGCGGCGGGCACCGCCGCCCAGGUCAUCUCGCGCCGCCAACCAUUGAACGGAGCUAGACCAGGCAAGAUUAGGGUCAGGUUUGGGGCAGCAAAUAAGCGUCAGGUGUUUGUGGACAAUCAGCCAUUAUGCAGAACUACAGCAAGCUCAACAAGCUGCCCACAAUCAUUGAAGAGGACGAAAUAGACAGGGCGACGGGUAUAAUGGCCCUACUUUCAGAUGUUCAGUUCAGAAGGUGUACUCUGUUAUUUCGCAGUUUGACCAACAGAAACGAGAAAUCGUUAACUCUAUGGGUUGGGGUGGCACUCUAUCCAUGCCUCUGAUCAGCAAACUAAGCGUCAGACAUAUGGUCUGGCUUCUAGGGAUGGUGGAUGAGGUCAGACAAGCCAUUGUACUGGGACCGAAUAAGGUUUUUAAGUUCAAUGAGAGUGAUGUUGAGAAGGUAUUCGGGAUCCCAGCAGCUGGAACAGAUGUCAUGGACAGAACUCUUGAUAGGAGUGACACUGUAUAUGCAUACUUGCGUGGUCGUUUGGGGAUAGAGAACAAGGAGGUAAGAAGUCUGAAGAGCAUACAGUCCAUACUGUCACGUGACUACAAGGGGAAGAUGUCACAAACAGAGGUGGCUGCAUUCAAAACUGCGUACAUCGUAUUCAUGAUGACACAUGUAUUUGCACCGACAGUCAAGAAUGACUACUUCUACACUGAUUAUUGGCCAGCACUGGUCGGCCCGGAUAGCUUGGAUAAGUUCAAUGGGGAAGAUAUAUUGUUGAAGUACUGUGCGCAGCCGCCGUUAAGAUGAAACAAGAUAUUCGCAGGAAAGCCACGGUGUCGAACAUAACAGGAUGUCUGCUCUUCCUACAGGUUUUCUAUCUAGACAACAUUCAGUUGGGGGACUUAAGCAUGACACAUGAUGUGUUCCCCAGAAUUAAAGCUUUCACCGCGGAUAAAAUUAGAGCCAUGAUCAAUGCCGACAAAAGGCCAAUGGAUUCAUCGAAAAACGGAGAUUUCAUUUAUGGAAUUCCAG